GGUCAGUCCACUUUCUCACAGGGCAGCCAACAGGGUGGAUCGGCUUCCUCCAGUGUCAGUACGGGUUGUGGAGACGGUACUUCAUACGACAGCAAUCCCUGCCACCAGGGUUCACAAAGUAAUUCAGGCAGCAGUAACCGUGAUUGUGAUCAGAGUUCAUCCAAUUGUGCAGGCAACAAGGUUAUCGUUGCCCG